rnacentral:rRNA from 1 species
UACGAAGGGUGCAAGCGUUACUCGGAAUUACUGGGCGUAAAGCGUGCGCAGGCGGUUAUGCAAGACAGAUGUGAAAUCCCCGGGCUCAACCUGGGAACUGCAUUUGUGACUGCAUGGCUGGAGUGCGGCAGAGGGGGAUGGAAUUCCGCGUGUAGCAGUGAAAUGCGUAGAUAUGCGGAGGAACACCGAUGGCGAAGGCAAUCCCCUGGGCCUGCACUGACGCUCAUGCACGAAAGCGUGGGGAGCAAACAGG